ensembl:lncRNA
GGUUGUUUUUCAGUUUUAAAAUAUUGGCAGUAACUUAUCUGAGAAGCUCAGAUGCUUUUGUGCUUUUUCAGUUUGGCAAAAGGAUGCGUCAGGAAUGUGCCUCUUGUGCCUGUGAAAAUUGACCUACAUUUGGCCAAGUCACAAGCCUUUGAAAAAGAAUCAGAGGAUCAUAGAAUAUCCUGAGUUGGAAGGGACCCACAAGGAUCAUCGAGUCCAGCUCCUGGCUUCACAUAGGACCACCCAAAAAAUCAGACUGCAAGGAUCUUCUCGUGUUCUGGGGAGACAUUCUCAGCUUCUACAGUAAAAUAAUUCCCAUCGGUUUGGCCACCUUACAGUGAGUAAUGAAUUGGAACGUGCAUGAAAAAAGGAGAAAAAAAGAAUGUAAGCUGCUGUUUUAAAAGGUGGAUUGCUGCUGCAUCCCGGAGAUACCUGAAUUAUGGUUUUGUGCAUUCACCACGUCCCAUCUGAUCGAGCCGGGAGAAGAGGGCGUUCUCAGGUCAGGAAGCUUGUCUGAGGAGCUCACUCCCUGUGGAUGCCUGCCAUCGAUCUUCUGUAGCUGUCUUCAGGUCUCCGGGUGCAGUAAGUCAGUAAGUUUUUGGCAGCUCUGGCUCCCCCUUUUCCUUUAAACUUAUUUGGGAUUUUUAGCACAGGGAGGUCAUCGUGUCCUCUUAAUUUUGUACUAUAUCCUAAAAGCGUUAGGAGAGAGUUAGGUAAAAGAAAAAUAAUGAUAGAUUUGUUGUGGUCUCCUUGCAUGGAAGCCUGUAGAAUUACACCUGGUCAAAUAUGUAUGGCAAACCUGUGACUGACAGGAGAAUUUGGCUCAGUUUGCAGGCGUGUGCACGAACUGCGGGAUCAAAACUUUCCAUCCCAAUUGAAACAGCAAGACAAGUUGUCUCACGCGCUCAGACAAACUUCGGUUUCAACAGCAGCUUGCUUUCGAUCUCCAGACUUAAACACAUCAGCCAGAGAUUGUGGCAUCCUCGUGACAACGCGGAGUGCACCCAGUGUAACAGCAGAAAGGCUGAUUACCGUCUCCUUCUGUUCACAAAGAGAGACAACACAGUGAAAAAUGAUUAUAAAAAAUAA